rnacentral:rRNA from 1 species
AUUGAACGCUGGCGGCAGGCCUAACACAUGCAAGUCGAGCGGAUGAGGAAAGCUUGCUUUUCGAUUCAGCGGCGGACGGGUGAGUAAUGCCUAGGAAUCUGCCUGUUAGUGGGGGAUAACUCGGGGAAACUCGGGCUAAUACCGCAUACGUCCUACGGGAGAAAGUGGGGGAUCUUCGGACCUCACGCUAACAGAUGAGCCUAGGUCGGAUUAGCUAGUAGGUGAGGUAAUGGCUCACCUAGGCGACGAUCCGUAACUGGUCUGAGAGGAUGAUCAGUCACACUGGAACGGAGACACGGUCCAGACUCCUACGGGAGGCAGCAGUGGGGAAUAUUGGACAAUGGGCGAAAGCCUGAUCCAGCCACGCCGCGUGUGUGAAGAAGGUCUUCGGAUUGUAAAGCACUUUAAGUUGGGAAUAAACCCUCUUACGUGUAGGAGGCUGAAGGUACCAAAUGAAUAAGCACCGGCUAACUCCGUGCCAGCCGCCGCGGUAAGAC